rnacentral:misc_RNA from 1 species
GAUGAAAAACGCAGCGAAAUGCGAUAAGUAGUGUGAAUUGCAGAAUUCAGUGAAUCAUCGAAUCUUUGAACGCACAUUGCGCCCCUUGGUAUUCCAUGGGGCAUGCCUGUUCGAGCGUCAUUUGUACCUUCAAGCUUUGCUUGGUGUUGGGUGUUUGUCUCGCCUUUGCGUGUAGACUCGCCUUAAAAUAAUUGGCAGCCGGCGUAUUGAUUUCGGAGCGCAGUACAUCUCGCGCUUUGCACUCAUAACGACAGCGUCCAAAAGUACAUUUUACACUCUUGACCUCGGAUCAGGUAGGGAUACCCGCUGAACUUAAGCAUAUCAAUAAGCGGAGGA